rnacentral:rRNA from 1 species
GUAUUGAGUUAUUGGCGUACGACUUUGAGCGGUGGAUCACUCGGCUCGUGUGUCGAUGAAGAGUGCAGC